rnacentral:rRNA from 1 species
CUCCUACGGGAGGCAGCAUUCGGGAAUCUUGGACAAUGGGCGCAAGCCUGAUCCAGCCAUGCCGCGUGCAGGAUGACGGUCCUAUGGAUUGUAUACUGCUUUUGUACAGGAAGAAACCCUUUCACGUGUGGAAGAUUGACGGUACUGUAAGAAUAAGGAUCGGCUAACUCCGUGCCAGCAGCCGCGGUAAUACGGAGGAUCCAAGCGUUAUCCGGAAUCAUUGGGUUUAAAGGGUCCGUAGGCGGUCAAGUAAGUCAGUGGUGAAAGCCCAUCGCUCAACGGUGGAACGGCCAUUGAUACUGCUUGACUUGAAUUAUUAGGAAGUAACUAUAAUAUGUAGUGUAGCGGUGAAAUGCUUAGAGAUUACAUGGAAUACCAAUUGCGAAGGCAGGUUACUACUAAUGGAUUGACGCUGAUGGACGAAAGCGUGGGUAGCGAACAGGAUUAGAUACCCUGGUAGUCCACGCCGUAAACGAUGGAUACUAGCUGUUGGGAGCAAUCUCAGUGGCUAAGCGAAAGCAUUAAGUAUCCCACCUGGGAAGUACGGCCGCAAGGCUAAAACUCAAAGGAAUUGACGGAAUC